UACGUAGGUGGCAAGCGUUGUCCGGAAUUAUUGGGCGUAAAGCGCGCGCAGGCGGUCCUUUAAGUCUGAUGUGAAAGCCCACGGCUCAACCGUGGAGGGUCAUUGGAAACUGGAGGACUUGAGUGCAGAAGAGAAGAGUGGAAUUUCACGUGUAGCGGUGAAAUGCGUAGAGAUGUGGAGGAACACCAGUGGCGAAGGCGACUCUUUGGUCUGUAACUGACGCUGAGGCGCGAAAGCGUGGGGAGCAAACAGG
rnacentral:rRNA from 1 species